rnacentral:tRNA from 2 species
GUGGUGGCUCAGAGGUAGAGUGCUUGCCUGGCACGUGUGAGGCCCUGGGUUCAAUUCUCAGCACCACA